ensembl:processed_transcript
AUGCUUUAACACACAGGUGUGCCACUUCCAUGAACAUAAUGCUGUUUGAUCUACUUGCUGUCUUAGGGAUGUUGUCCCUCACAGGGGACUCUUCUCAGGGAUGUUGUUCCUCUAGUCAAAUAUCUCAACAAUAUCACUUCAUAAAUAUAACAAAGAACUGGACUGAGGCUCAGAGGUUUUGCCGUGAGAAGUACACUGGCCUGGUGACUGUGAAAAAUGGAGAUGAGACAAAGACCAUAACUGAUGUUUUAAAUGAUGUUUACAUUGGACUUUACAGACAGGAGAGAUUUAGUUGGCAUUGGUGUAUGCCAGACACUUUCUACAAUGCAAAAACACUCCAAAAUUGGAAAAAGGAACAACCAGAUGAAAAUAAUAAAGGAUUUGAAACUGGAACAAAUAACUCUAAUUCAGAAAGACAAUUUGUUUGCUAUACUGCAAGAAACAACACGCAAAUCCAGAUUGAGAAGAGGGAAUUCAAGAGAGGUGCUCAACAAAGUUGCAAAAACUUUACAGAUUUAAAAAAUUCCUCAAUCAGCUUAGAAAACUCCAUUUUAAUUGUUCUGAAAAACUACAACUGGGGUUUUAUAACAAAUGAUGUGUGGAUUGGACUGUUUAAAGAUGACUGCUUGUGGUUGGAUCAGAACAACUCUUGCUUCUGUGCCUGUAGUUUGAGUCCAGAAAAACACAACAACAGCAGUUCAAACAAAUGUAAAUGGAUUGUAAAUGAAAAAAGUAUAAGGAAUGAAGCUCAAUGC